GAGGCAAGUUGUGUGCAUAUCCUCCGCUGGAAUAUAAAAACUCUGCGCGAAUAAAGAUGGCAGAAGGAGAGCAGCCACAGCAGUGUUUUGAUGUCUUGGAAAGGAAAGCAGACGUGCUUUCGGCUUCAUCCCAUCAUCCCUGGGGGUCAUCUUCACAUCAGACAGGAGCAUCCUGAACUCUGCGAGGGGAAGCAUGAAGGAAGAGGAUGUGUGUAUACUCUGUGUGUGUGUGUGUGUGUGUGUGUGUGUGUGUGUGUGUGUGUGUGUGUGUGUGUGCUUGUGCUUGUGCUUGUGCUUGAAAAAGCUCUUUAGUUCACAUUUCUGGGAACAGCUGCAGGCAGGACUUCCUGUUCUGCACAGGAAACAAAAUGGCGGAGUAUGGGAGGCCUGGAACAAUGCUGUGAAAGUCAGCCACCACCCAGGUUAGAGAGCAGAGAAUCGUCUGUGAGUGAAACAGCAAAGAAGACUGCUGCACUGCCUUGGCUGAGAAGCCUCUGGGAUAACAUUUUUCAGGAUCUUAGGUUACCAUGGAGACAGAAUCACCCACAUGCCUCGUCACGAGGAGCCUCUCUAUCCAUGACAACACAGCUGUUUCCUCUAUCCUUCACAUUUGGUUCCAUCCAUCCAUCUUCUUCAUCCGCUUAUCCGGGGUCG